rnacentral:rRNA from 1 species
CUACGGGAGGCUGCAGUGGGGAAUAUUGCACAAUGGGCGAAAGCCUGAUGCAGCCAUGCCGCGUGUGUGAAGAAGGCCUUCGGGUUGUAAAGCACUUUCAGUAGGGAGGAAAGGGUGUACGUUAAUACCGUGCAUCUGUGACGUUACCUACAGAAGAAGCACCGGCUAACUCCGUGCCAGCAGCCGCGGUAAUACGGAGGGUGCGAGCGUUAAUCGGAAUUACUGGGCGUAAAGCGUGUGUAGGCGGUUAUUUAAGCGAGAUGUGAAAUCCCGGGGCUCAACCUCGGAACUGCAUUUCGAACUGGAUAACUAGAGUUUUGUAGAGGGUGGUGGAAUUUCCAGUGUAGCGGUGAAAUGCGUAGAGAUUGGAAGGAACAUCAGUGGCGAAGGCGGCCACCUGGACAAAAACUGACGCUGAGACACGAAAGCGUGGGGAGCAAACAGGAUUAGAUACCCCCGUAGUC